GGCAGUGUAGCAGAUUGGUAAUGAGCAUGGUUUGUAACCAAGUGGUUGCUGGUUCAAUUCCCCAAGGUAC